GACAUCCAGACACUCGAAGACUUGUCGAAAAAAGUGGAACUCAAUGGUCAGUUCGGUGUGCUGUUUCUACCCGGAAAGAAGCAGCUCAAGGACGUGAAGUGUCAUAGUAUAAAUUACAAGAACUCUAAUGGAGUGGAUGGGGAUUGUAAGUUCGCCGGUGUGGCCCCGAAUACAAAUGAAACAUUGGGGAUUAAAGAGACACGUCGACACGGUGAG
rnacentral:lncRNA from 1 species